UACGUAGGGUGCAAGCGUUAAUCGGAAUUACUGGGCGUAAAGCGUGCGCAGGCGGUUUUGUAAGUCUGUCGGGAAAUCCCCGGGCUCAACCUGGGAAUUGCGAUGGAGACUGCAAGGCUAGAAUCUGGCAGAGGGGGGUAGAAUUCCACGUGUAGCAGUGAAAUGCGUAGAGAUGUGGAGGAACACCGAUGGCGAAGGCAGCCCCCUGGGUCAAGAUUGACGCUCAUGCACGAAAGCGUGGGGAGCGAACAGG
rnacentral:rRNA from 1 species